rnacentral:tRNA from 1 species
AAGAUCUUAAGUUAACUAAACUAGAAGCCUUCAAACCUUUCAAUAUGAGUUCAAACCUCUUAGGUCUUA